GUUUUUUUUUUCAAUUUUCUUUUUCGAUUACUAACUAUGUGUUUUUCUUGUUGUCUUCUUGAUCCAGGUACACCUCUGCUGUAUGCGAACUCGAUCAACAGGCAAUCAGAACCUCCUUUUCAACGAUAACAUCGAUCGCAUAGCUCGCGAACUCAGAGAAAGGAGAAACACAAUCAACCUUGUACCUCAGCAACCACUCGAAAUGGCUGACGAACAGAAUCAACAAAAUGGCCCAGCUAACAUUGGUGCUGGAGAUGCACCACGUGAUCACCGUCAGAGAGAAGGAAUUGCACCUCCUGCUAUCCAGAACAACAACUUCGAGAUUAAGAGUGGUCUCAUCUCGAUGAUUCAGGGGAACAAAUUCUAUGGUCUGCCAAUGGAGGAUCCACUUGACCACCUUGAUGAAUUCGAUAGGCUCUGCAACCUAACAAAAAUCAAUGGUGUUAGUGCAGAUGGAUUCAAGCUCCGUUUGUUUCCUUUCUCCUUAGGCGACAAAGCACACAUCUGGGAGAAGAAUCUGCCCCAUGACUCAAUCAUCACCUGGGAUGAUUGUAAGAAGGCUUUUCUAUCAAAGUUCUUCUCCAAUGCCAGAACUGCAAGACUCAGAAAUGAAAUUUCUGGUUUCUCACAGAAGACUGGUGAAAGCUUCUGUGAAGCAUGGGAGCGUUUCAAGGGUUACACCAACCAAUGCCCUCAUCAUGGCUUUACUAAAGCCUCUAUGCUCAGCACUCUUUACAGAGGAGUCCUACCACGCAUCAGAAUGCUUCUGGAUACCGCCAGCAAUGGAAAUUUCCAGAACAAAGAUGUUGAAGAAGGCUGGGAAUUGGUUGAUAACCUUGCUCAAUCAGAUGGCAAUUACAACGAGGACUGCGAUAGGACCGUCAGAGACACAGCUGACUCUGAUGACAAACACAGGAAGGAGAUCAAAGCGCUGAAUGACAAGCUGGACAGGAUUCUUCUUAACCAGCAGAAGCAUGUGCACUUCCUUGUUGAUGACGAGCAGUUUCAAGUCCAAGAUGGAGAGGGUAACCAGUUGGAAGAAGUUAGCUACAUCAACAACAACCAGAGUGGCUACAAAGGGUAUAACAACUUCAAAACCAACAACCCCAACCUCUCCUACCGCAGCACCAACAUUGCUAAUCCUCAGGAUCAAGUGUAUCCUCCACAGCAACAACAAGUUCAGAACAAACCUUUUGUUCCCUACAAUCAAGGUUUCGUUCCUAAGCAGCAAUUUCAGGGGAACUACCAGCCGCCACCACCACCUGGGUUUGCACAUCAGCAAAACCAAGGUCAUGCUGCUCCUGAGGCUGAUAUGAAACAAAUGCUACAACAGCUGCUUCACGGGCAAGCCUCUGGCUCCAUGGAGAUGGCAAAGAAGAUAUCUGAGUUACAUAACAAGCUGGACUGUAGCUACAAUGAUCUCAAUGUCAAGAUGGAAACACUGAAUACCAAAGUCCGAUACUUAGAGGGACAUUCUGCAUCUUCUUUAGCUCCAAAACAGACAAGCCAACUACCAGGCAAAACAGUAGAAUCCAAAAGAAUAUGCUCAUGCUAUCACACUGCGUAGUGGAAAAGCACUUCCAACUAGGGAGGAACCAAAGACGGUCACUGAGGACAGUGAAGAUCAAGAUGGGGAGGAUUUAAGUCUCGAGAAAGAUCAAGCUGACAAACCACACGAGCAACCACUCGACCAGUCACUCGAGCAACCACUCGACCUGUCACUCGAGCAACCACUCGAUCUGCCACUCGACAACGUUACUCGACCAACAACUCGACCUAUCUUCCCAGCAGCAUCAGCAACUGCUCCAAAACCAAUUACUGUCAAAAACAAAGAAAAGGUCUUUGUCCCUCCUCCCUACAAACCAGAGCUUCCAUUUCCUGGCCGUCACAAGAAAGCUUUGGCAGAUAAAUAUAGAGCUAUGUUUGCCAAGAAUAUUAAGGAGGUUGAGUUGCGGAUACCUCUUGUUGACGCUCUAGCGCUAAUCCCAGACUCUCACAAGUUUCUGAAAGACUUGAUCGUGGAGAGAAUUCAAGAAGUGCAAGGGAUGGUGGUAUUGAGUCAUGGAUGCAGUGCUAUCAUACAGAAGAAGAUCAUUCCUAAGAAGCUUAGUGAUCCUGGUUCAUUCACUCUACCAUGCUCUUUAGGUCCAUUGGCUUUCAAUAGAUGCCUAUGCGAUUUAGGAGCAUCAGUCAGUCUCAUGGCGCUCUCUGUUGCCAAAAGAUUGGGGUUCACUCAAUACAAGUCCUCCAAUAUAUCCCUCAUCCUAGCUGACAGAUCAGUAAGGAUCCCUCAUGGUUUGCUCAAAAACUUCGGAAUCACGAUCGGUGCUGUGGAGAUACCAACUGACUUUGUAGUCCUGGAGAUGGAUGAAGAGCCCAAGGACCCUUUGAUUCUAGGGAGACCUUUCUUAGCCACUGCAGGAGCUAUGAUUGAUGUCAAGAAAGGGAAGAUUGAUCUAAGCCUUGGCAAAGACUUUAGGAUGACCUUUGAUGUCAAAGACGCGAUGAAGAAGCCUACCAUAGAAGGGCAACUCUUUUGGAUCAAAGAAAUGGAUCAGUUAGCCGAUGAAUUACUGGAAGAGCUGGCGGAAGAAGAUCAUCUUAACAGUGCUUUAACCAAAAGUGGUGAAGAUGGGUUUCUGCAUUUGGAAACAUUUGGAUACCAAAAGCUGUUAGACUCCAAUAAAGCGAUGGAAGAAUCAGAACCCUUUGAGGAAUUGAAUGAACCAGCAACAGAGGUAAUGGUAAUGAGCGAAGAAGGGUCAACUCGAGUUCAACCUGCACUCUCGAGGACAUACUCGACCAGCCACUCGACCUUGUCUGCCAACGAAUCUGGGGAGCCGAUCAUUCCAACUUCAGAUGACUGGUCUGAACUUAAGGCACCGAAGGUUGAUCUCAAACCACUUCCUAAAGGUCUAAGGUACGCAUUCCUUGGUCCAAACUCUACUUACCCUGUGAUCAUUAAUGCCGAGUUAAAUAGUGAUGAAGUGAACCUACUAUUAUCUGAGCUUAGAAAGUAUAGGAGAGCGAUUGGUUAUUCAUUAUCCGACAUUAAGGGAAUUUCACCUAGUUUAUGCAACCAAAGGAUCUCUUUACAUGUUUAGGAUAGGAGCUUCAAGAUCUCAACUGAUCACUCGACCCCCUGGUCGAGUGGAGGACAUCACUACUUUACCACAUCACUCGACCCCGAGGUCGAGCGUCUUCAUCCCAUCACCUGACCACCACUCGAUCGCAUCACUCGACCCCGAGGUCGAGUGUCUUCACAUUCAUUGCCAGACCACUACUCGACCUCGUCACUCUACCUGGAAGUCGAGUAUCACCAUCACCACCACUCGACUGCAUACUCGAUGGCAAGCUUCAGGGCCUUCUUCAUUCCGCACUCAACCAGACACUCGAGCACAAGGAAGAAAAGAAGACUCCAGCUAUUCACUCGACCUCCCACUCGACCACAUGGGUCGAGUACAGUUCUUAAUCCGUCCCAAUACUUCGUCGUUUUAAGUAUUAGGGUUUCGUAAUAUUUGGCUAUAAGUAGCAUGUACUUCACAUUUUCGCAGAGAAGUUUUUUAUCUAGUUUUAUUUCCGCAGACCUUGUGUUCUAGACCUUUUGUAAUCCAGAUUUCUCUUUAUCUAUUCAGUAUUCAGUAUUCAGCUUUUGUUCUUGAUUUCGGUUACUGUUGUUCAUUCUGUUAUCAUCCUGUACACUGUUGUUAUCAUGUUUUCAACUUGUUCAACGUUUAUGCUUUCGUUUAUGAUGUCUGAGUAGUGAAUAGAUUUCUGAGGAUGGGUUAGAGUAGUGUAGAAUUCUCAGUAUGCUAGGUGAUUGAGUAUUGAUUGAUAGAUCCCUUCUGGAUUAGUUGUUCUUAAUGCCUAUUGCUUUCUGAUCAACUGGAAUUUGAGCCCAGACAUUUCUGCGCCCAAAAAGUGUUCGAUGAAAUGUCUGAACCACUAAUUCCAGAGAUUCGUGACCGUGUACUAAGGUAUUGGUUGCAGGGAGCGUUUUGGUUUUAACUUGUUGAUUCGUAAUGCCUGUUAGGUUAGCUCUCGUCAAUGGUGAUUGAGUCUAGGACUAGGUUAACUUGAGAGUCUCUGUUGCGGUGACACUUAGAUUUGGUUAAUGAACUUGUUGUCUAGGGUUAAUUUAUUGAGCAUGUCAAUCACCUGUAAACUGAGAAAACGAAACUACUCAAUUACCCCAUCCUCGGGAAUUCUUUAUCUGAUUGAAUUCUUUGUUUACUCUACUGUUGUUUACUGCAUCUUGUUAUCUGUCGCUUAAUUUCUACAAUUCUUUCUUGUUACUCGACCUCAUACUCGACCACCCAGUUGUCUGGCAACAGACUGUGCAGUCGAGUAUCUGUGUUUUAUUUUCUGUGUGUUACUCGACCUGUCACUCGAUCACACCCAGUGCUCUACAAAGAGCUGUGUUGGUCUGUGUUGGUCGAGUGUUUUACUAUUUCUGUUUGAUUUUCUGUUUUCUGCAUGUUCACUUAGGACUGCUAGAACACACCAAAACAUGUUAUUACUUGGCUUGACUUAGUGACUUCUGAUCACAUCUUGAUUGUUAGCAUCACACCCAUUUGGAUUGACAACCUAAAAUACUACAACGACAUGAUUGGUGUUUUGGGAUAAUUGACUAAAAACCUAUUAUCAUAUUUUUAGAGCAGUUUCCCAUACCCUUAGCCUAGCCUUAUUUCAAGCCAAAGAUCAUUUGUGUGAUUGUGAGGUCUUUUUCGAUUGAGCUUGGUAUAACUUGUUAGGUAUGAGCCGACAAGAGCAGUCUUUCAUGUAGACCUAGCCCACGCUCUUUGGGUUAGCUAGGACUAGGUGGAGACUUGUAUUUGGGAUUGGGAUUGUGUAUGGAUUGAAUGAGAAUGAGAAUGAGAAUGAAAAGAAAAGGAAAAAAAAGAGUAAGAGUUUAGAGUUCUAAGGGGGAUACAAAAGUGUUAAGUCUAGUAAAGGGUUUGGAAUUCAAAGAAGUUAGGCAUAGUGAUUCAAAGAAAAGGGUAAAUCGCCCUAUGUGCUAAGAUUAGAAGAAAAGCCUUAAGUUUGUCAAAGUAUAAAACCAAACCCGCUAGACUCUUAAAUUGAUUCAAAGAGAACCCCUUAGAACUUGAACCAAAAAGAGAGAAGAAUGAGAAAAAGGGUAGAGUUAGGACAUCUAUGGGACUGGGAUCAUUUUCUGAGCUAUCAUACUAUAUCAUUGGGUAGAUGGGAGUCUGUUCUUGUAUGUAUCCAUUGGCUUUUACCUUUAGCAUUCUACUGAAGCUCAAUCUUUUCUCUGAGAGUCCCCUGUUACUCGACUAAACCAUUAGAGGGACCAUUUUUGUCUCUUAGCCUAAGCCGAAACCAAGUGAGUUCAUAACCAUUGCAUUGCUUGAUCCACUAUUCGUGCUUAAUGAAUGUUAAAGGGAAUUGGUUGAUGUGAAUGCUUGAAUAGAUUAAGGCAAGUUGUUAGGUUGCAUUGUGACGAGUAUGGCUAACGUUUCUAAGUAAGGGUCAAUCAUCUUGCAACCUAGAAUUAGCUACCUGGACAUUGAACUUACCCGUUUUAUAUGCAUGCUUCGGUUCUUGAAUCCCCACCUUCAAACCUCUCCUUCAACUUAAGAUUUUUUUGUUUGCUUGAGGGCAAGCAAGAGAUAAGUUUGGGGGAGUUGAUAACACUGUAUUUUACUCAUUUUAGGUGUGUGUUUAUCAUCAUUUAGUUUUGCAUUUGCUCAUUGUAUCAUAUCAUUUUGCACCAUUUUAGCUUAUUUUGCAUACUUAGGCAUCUAGGAUCAUCUUGCAUUCGCAUUGCAUGUUUUGGUGUGUUUUCAGGUGUAGAAGGAGCUAAAAAGGACUUUACUCGAUCCAUUCACUCAAUCCAGGCUGCUACAGAAGAGGCAUCAAUUCACUCGACCUCUUUACUCGAUCCAGGAUGCUACAGAGGAGGCUACAGUUUACUCGACCCUCUUACUCGAUCAAGGCAACCUCAGAUGAAGCAGCAGAUUGAUCUACUCGCCCCUCCUACUCGAUCCAUUUACUCGACCACGGGUGACCAUCUCUACAAGACUUGUUGAGCUAUCAAAGCGUCUUCGGAUCCUCCUCAUUCCCCACUCAACCAGACAUCUGAGCAUACAGAUAGGAGAGGAUGAAGCAUCUACUCGACCAAUUGAUCACUCGGAGCAUAUACACAAAGGCACAGACUUUGCAGUACCCUCUUUACUCGAUUCCCAAGAUCGAAUAUUCGCCCAAACCGCCUCAAGUCUCUUGUCUUCUAGUGAAUCUAGGGGUUCAACAUUUUACUAUAAAUAGAUCACUUUGGGGUUUGUCCAAAGGAUCUAUGCUUUAUCUUUCAGUUUUUCUUUGUGUUUAUGAAUCUUAAAACCUUAAAUACUCUUAAUCUAUUUCGUUUUUGCAUUUAGUUCUUUAAGUAAAGUUGUUUAGCUUAUUUAGAUCUACAUUUUGGUAUGAUUUCAGUAAUUUUUGGGUUUGUGAUCUUGAGAAUGUUGCUUGAGUAGUGAUUAGGGUUCUUGAGGAUGGAUUAGAUUAGGGUAAUCUCUAGGUUAGUUAGGUGGUUAGUGUUUAGGGUAAUACCCUUCUGGAUUCGCUUGGCCCCUAUGGGAUUUUUGCUGGCUAAUGUGGAGAUUCGAUCAUAGACGUCCAGCGUCCAAAAGACGUUCAAAUGGAUGUUUUAUCUACGAAUUCCAGAGAUCUGUAAACUCGACCAAGAGAUUGGCUUGUCUGCUUAUUGGCUUUGGUAAAUUGUUUUUUAAACUCUGCUCUGCUAUGUUUCAUCAACGAGAGUUGAGAUUAGGAAGUGGUAGAGUUAUGGGGGUCUCUGUCACGAGAGUGGAUUGACCCGGUUUUUGAAUCUAUCGUCAAGGGUAUCUACCUUUCACCUAUUAGCCAUCUGAUAAACCCUAGAGUUGCCCUUAUCAAUGAAUCCAUCCUUAGGACUUCUAUUAGAUUUAUUUGUAUUCCCUGUUGAUUGCACUUUUAUUUACCUGUUAUUUGUAUCCCCUGUUGAUUGCAUUUUAGUUCUUAAUUUUGUCACAUGUUGGUUCUACUCGACCCAAUGAUCGAGUAGAGCUCUUAAAGUUCUUAUUUUUGUUGUUUGAAUCCUGACCUAAGAUUGUUACUAGAAACCCACCAUCUUUAUAAUCUGGCUUGACUUAGUUGUUUCUGUACACAUCUUGAUUGCUAGCAAUACAGUGGACUGGAUUGACACCUCCUAUAGCUGCAUCGACAUGUUUGUGUUUUACGGGAAUUAAACAUAAGUAGGCCUAAAAACCUGCUUAUCAGUUUGUAACGACAGAGAUAGUGUCUCAUGAUGUUCUAGUUCGCAUUAUCCGGACUAGAUAGGACUAGGUGGGCUCUUAUACUUUAGGUUGGGAUGUGUCUAAAAGAAAAAGAAAAAAGAGGGUUGAUUCAUUGAUAAGAAAAGGUAAAAGACUCUAGGUGAAGUAAGCUAAAGAAGCAGAAAAAGUCUAGUAAAGGUUUUGGGAUUUGUAAAGAAAAGAAAAGAGUUCUUGUUAGCUAAUGAAGAAGGGCAAAAGCCCUCGGUUUUAAAAUUUC
rnacentral:sRNA from 1 species